UACGAAGGGUGCAAACGUUGCUCGGAAUCAUUGGGCGUAAAGCGCACGUAGGCGGCUUCGAAAGUCGGAUGUGAAAUCCCAUGGCUCAACCAUGGACGUGCACCCGAAACUGCGAGGCUUGAGUACUGAAGAGGAUCGCGGAAUUCUCGGUGUAGAGGUGAAAUUCGUAGAUAUCGAGAGGAACACCGGUGGCGAAGGCGGCCAACUGGACGAAUACUGACGCUGAGACACGAAAGCGUGGGGAGCAAACAGG
rnacentral:rRNA from 1 species